rnacentral:misc_RNA from 1 species
GGUGCCAGUCGCUCAUCUCAAGAAGGUCUCCGGCCGCUCCGUCGCCGCCGAAACCGUCGAGCAGUUGAUCCGCGACACCAACGCCGGAAUUUUCACCGAGCGCGGUUUCCGUCUCGCGACCGAACCCAAGGUCACGAUGCCGACCGAGGAAAAGGAAAUCGAAGACAUUCUCGCGGGCAAGUCCGACCUGAAUUAUUCCGUCGCAAUCGAGGUCGUGCCUGCCAUCGAACUGGCUGAUUUCAAGACCUUCAAUGUCGAGAAGCCGGUGGCGNNNNNNCGACGCCGACGUCGACGAGGCGCUGAAGCGCAUCGCCGACCAGAGCCGCCCCUAUGCCGCAAAGGCGGAAGGCGCGAAGGCCGAGAAGGGCGACCGCGUCACGGUNAGGGCUCUAUCGACGGCGAGUUGUUCGACGGCGGCACCGGCGAAGGCAUUCAGGUCGUGAUCGGCUCAAACACCUUCAUUCCGGGCUUCGAAGACCAGCUCAUCGG